UACAUAUGUGUGACAGAAUGAAUGAGGUUCAGGUGGUGAUUGACACUCCUGACCACCAAUCAGUAGCGAGCAGGCACUAUUUAGAGUGGGUUGGUUUGAGCCUGGCAUGUGUCACGCCCGGAUCCUCCCCUUUUGCGGUUGCUAAAGACAUUUCAGCCUGUCUUUUCAGUGUGUGUCCCUGUUGGAUGCUGCUUUGGAUCUGUUUAUUGCCCUCCCUGCAGUUUAACAGCAGGUUAUUUGAAGGCUGCGUAUCCUGAGCGGUGAAUUGAUUCUCAGGAACUUAUCUAUCCGCGUUUGGAUCCUCCUUCUCUCCUUCCUCCUUUUUCGUCCUGGGUGAUUAUUGCUGCGAUUCGACUUUUCCCUCGCUGCGUGCCGAGUGAACAACCUCGGCUUACAACUAUUUAAAAGGGGAAUUCUGCUGCUGCCAUUUGGCUUCUGUGAUUUUUAACCGGUAUUGUCUGGUCUACUGAGGGGUCGAGCAACGUGCAAGUAUCGGGGCUGGCUUGAAGACGACGUGGCCGCUCCUUUUGGGUUUUGCUUCCCUCAACCUUUUAAUCAAGUUCUUCAUUGGUUUUUGUUUAAGCGGUGUAUAUGGUGAAUCAUAUUGUGCUUGGUGACUAUCCAUCAUAUUACGGUGGAAUUGUGACCUUAAUUCGCUGUUUCCUUCCUUUCUGUCUGAGAUUUAUUUUGCUUUUGGGUUUCUUUCAGGAGCUGGGGUCCCACGGGUGAAAGGUCUUUGGUGCUAUUUCUACAUUUGCUGUACGACACUUUUGACGUGUAUGAGUGGGUGUUUUGAGUUCACGGUGAGGUGUGUGUGUGGAAGUGUGCUUUUGAUAAUUAGUGCUGAUCACUCCGGUGGGUAACUCCAGCCAUGUAUGUAAUGAUUUUAUGUUGUUUUGUUCAUUUGUAAAUUUAUUGUUUAAUACUUUGUGUCCGAUUGUUUAUUUUGUUAUUUGUGUAAUUGUCACCGGACCAUAUUCACCAGUGAGAACAUUUUCUUUUUGUUCUUAUAUUUUAAAGCUAAGUUUUCAAUAAACUCUGUAUUGUUUUA